GACGAACGCUGGCGGCGUGCUUAACACAUGCAAGUCGAACGGAAAGGCCCUGCUUGCAGGGUACUCGAGUGGCGAACGGGUGAGUAACACGUGGGUGAUCUGCCCUGCACUUCGCGAUAAGCCUGGGAAACUGGGUCUAAUACCGGAUAGGAGCCAUUUUUAGUGUGAUGGUUGGAAAGUUUUUUCGGUGUAGGAUGAGCUCGCGGCCUAUCAGCUUGUUGGUGGGGUAAUGGCCUACCAAGGCGGCGACGGGUAGCCGGCCUGAGAGGGUGGACGGCCACAUUGGGACUGAGAUACGGCCCAGACUCCUACGGGAGGCAGCAGUGGGGAAUAUUGCACAAGGGGCGCAAGCCUGAUGCAGCGACGCCGCGUGGGGGAGGACGGCCUUCGGGUUGUAAACUCCUUUCGCUAGGGACGAAGCUUUUUGUGACGGUACCUAGAUAAGAAGCACCGGCUAACUACGUG
rnacentral:rRNA from 1 species